rnacentral:rRNA from 1 species
GGGAUCGCCCUUUCCGUAGUGAACCUGCGGAGGGAUCAUUACAAGUGACCCCGGCUACGGCCGGGAUGUUCAUAACCCUUUGUUGUCCGACUCUGUUGCCUCCGGGGCGACCCUGCCUUCGGGCGGGGGCUCCGGGUGGACACUUCAAACUCUUGCGUAACUUUGCAGUCUGAGUAAACUUAAUUAAUAAAUUAAAACUUUUAACAACGGAUCUCUUGGUUCUGGCAUCGAUGAAGAACGCAGCGAAAUGCGAUAAGUAAUGUGAAUUGCAGAAUUCAGUGAAUCAUCGAAUCUUUGAACGCACAUUGCGCCCCCUGGUAUUCCGGGGGGCAUGCCUGUUCGAGCGUCAUUUCACCACUCAAGCCUCGCUUGGUAUUGGGCAACGCGGUCCGCCGCGUGCCUCAAAUCGUCCGGCUGGGUCUUCUGUCCCCUAAGCGUUGUGGAAACUAUUCGCUAAAGGGUGUUCGGGAGGCUACGCCGUAAAACAACCCCAUUUCUAAGGUUGACCUCGGAUCAGGUAGGGAUACCCGCUGAACUUAAGCAUAUCAAUAAGCGGAGGAAAGGGCGAUCC